rnacentral:lncRNA from 1 species
CACAAAGAUUAGCACUGGGCAAAAUCAACCUACAGCGUCUGCCACAAGUCAGCACCAGAAGGCAGUGGCCUGCAGCAACAGAGGCUAUAUCAACUGCUGGCAUCCAGCAUUAUCCAGUUUAAUCUAGUGACAUGAGGAUUGCUACGAGAGCUGCACUCAAUUCAUCACUUGCAUCUGCAUCAAGCAAAGGAAUCCCAGGCUAAUGAGCAACACAGAAAUGCAACCUGGAAUAAACGUCCCUCUCCGACCGCCGACCGCCGACCGCCUCUGCUUCAGCUUGGCUUCUGAGACAAUGGUGAGAAAACUGGAGCGGGGCUGGGGCCUGGAGUCCCCAGGAAAACAAGGAGCCAAAGCUUGGCUUCCACCAAACACCGCACUGGCAAGGA